GGUGUUAGUUAGGAAUUGACAAGACCCAAAACUGUAAGGACCAUUCGAUCUAUAGGCAGUUAUCGACAUCGAACAAUUCGUCUUUGGUCGUCAAAUAUUUGCUUCUACUUUUCCAAGAUUUUUCGGGUGGUGCGAGUUCCCAAGUUCUCCAUAACUUCUGCAACAUCUAGUUUUUGUCUUCCCCUAUUUAUACUUCGCACUUAUUAUUAACGAUACUUUUUUACUUUUACUGAAAUUUUGAUAACUAUAGACUUUUCAUCUUCUUUCUCUUCAUCUCUGUGUUCUAACGACGAGACAUGCAACCAUAGAGAUUUAGGAGGGAGAGCCUUUGGCCAUCACGUUCUGAUCGAAGAUGAUCAAAGAUGACGUACGAUGCUCUAAUUACCUUUUGUCGAUCUUUCAACGUACUCGACGAAAUACGACCGUUAGUUUCUGCUGUUGUUGAGUGUCCAGAACGGGUGAAACCUUUCUCUGCACGCACAUACACGAUUUUGUUUGAAAAAUGAGGUUGGAGUUCCUUCGAUGUGAUUAAUCUUUUUUAGACGAAGUGGAAUCCUGGGUUCAAGGAUACUUUUUACUUCUCCACACGCGCUAACUGUGAAAUCCUCACCGAGCUUCCGAGAAAAGAUGAAUAGAGAGAUGAGUAAUUCUUUUUUGAAGUAAAUGAAGCUUCGAUAGACAAUUUUGAUCACACUCAGAUGUUUUCUAUCUGAAUACUGGUUAAUGAUACUUACAGAUCUGAGCCUUUAUCCGAUCACGUCCGUUCUUUGGUUUAUCGGUUGUGUGGCGGGACUGUCGAUUGGCCUUCUUUUAGUAGACCGAGGGUGCUCGAUGCGCUUGGCAUCUUCCUUAACGUUUACCGAUAGCUCCUUCCUCGCUUAGGACCGUUUCCUAUCAGUUGGCUCAGCCUCAAGGUUGGGAUGUGCAGGUCAUUAAUUUUUGAUGUGUCAAGCUUAUCAACCCAAUCUCAACCGCCAAUCAUUAUUGAUGAUACUCUGGUACCUUCUGCUCGGGCGUGUAUUCAGGUCAGAAUAGGCAAGGGAAGCCCUGCUUCUGUAAGGGAGGGGGUGUUGAGACGUCUGGCCGGCGUGCUGGCGUCGUUAUGGAUCUGUCCGUCGGAGGUUGGUUGGUAGCAGAUCGGACCAUGGACAGCAGAAGAAAGAGGGCCCGCAGAGAAGGUUUUUCACACUCAUUGGUUAGAGGCGGCGAAUCUUAUAUUCCCUGUUGGCCUUUAGAGCAUAAAAAGAUGUUACUAAUUCAGAGGACCCGUAUGGCGCGGCAUCUAUGAUUUACUUGUUGGGAGAGAAGGAGUGCCAAUUGCCAGUUCCUACUACUCCUAGAGAGCGGGGAUCCUACAACAACGCUACUGUUGCUCUCGUGAAAGUAUUAUUUCUUUCAUGAUAUUUCUUUAAUUAUUUUAUGAUGAUUUUUACUCGUUUGACGCAUUUGUCAGUCUAUAGAGGCUUUGGAUCAUGUGGUUUUCCAUUAUGAGGCAAGGGUCAGUGAAGGAGGUCCAGCGAAUGCGGAUCAUUCUAGUUUGGAAAGGCUUCCCGCUGAUCUUCGGCAGCUAAGGACCGUGAGGAUUGCCUCAUUAUAGAGCUUGCUGACCACAAAGCUCGCAUUGUGCACAUAGAAGCUGAUCUAGCGCACAAACAUCAGGUCUCCGCUGAUCUUUACGCUGCUCUUGAGGCUAAGUGGGAUGCAGUCUUGGCUAGGGUGAAACGUCUUGAAGAAUAUAUUUCGAGCUUGGUGACAGCUCAUGAAGUUUGGAUGAGGCGCUCAAUUCAGGCUGAUAAACUAAGAAUCUCAGCUCAGUGUACUGUUUACGUUUUGAAACAUGUGUGUGGCCAAGGGUAAGGAGGCGACUGCUGAAAUCGAACUCCAGGAUGUGGCGGCGAACAUCAGACUCUUAGAUCUGCUCCAGCGGGGGGAGGUCGAGAUCGAGACAGAUAUGGUUGUGUUAAGGGAGAAAGAGAAAGAAUGUGAUAGUGUUUGGAGGGCAUCCAAGUUUUGAAUUUGUCUCUAGGCAAGCUUACUCCACCGUCGGUUUUGGAGGAUUCCGUGAUGAUGGAAGAGGCCCCGGUGGGUGAUCAGAUUGUUAACUCCGAUGGUGGAGUUAGGGAGGUUUGAGAGUUCAUUCGUCUUCUUUUUUUUUGUUAUUGUUUAUGUUGCCUAAUAAUGGCUCUUUAUAAAAAAUGCCUUCAAAAUUUAUGAAGAAUGUAUAAGAUCUGUUUUUAAAAAAAAUUAUGGAGUACAAUUUUUAAUAGUUUUUGUGAAUUGAAUCAGCCGUAGGUUUUAGGAA